CUGGGGGCAUGUUCCCAAGUCAGGAAAAGCCCUCCCUUCACUGCCGAGGAGUUUUAUUUACUCUCCUCUUUUCUUCUUCUCCCUGUGUGUCUGGAGGUGGAAUCCAGCCAGUUCUGAUGCUGUGGACCUUGUUUUUUCCCCUCAGAUCUUGAUUUCAGUGAUGUUAGUUCUCAUUGGAGCAAGUCAGGGGAGGUUCAAGCCCCAGGUGGUGUUAUGGUGCAGGCAGGAGCAGAGCGACAGGAGUGUUUACAACAGAGAAAAUGAAGAGUGAGGAACAUCCUGUUGAAAAAUGUGCUACACUGAUUCAUCUUAAGGUCAGAAUUGCUGUACUAAGAAUUCAACCUUCAGAAGAGCUCCAUCUCGGCUCCUUAGAGGCACACAAAAUGUUGACAAAUUGCUCUGCCACUUCCAAAGGAAAAAAAAAUAGCAAGGUAUGUCUACAUUUUCUUUCAGUUCAUUUUCUUUGUAAGAAAAUACACAGUUGCACUCAGGGGGCAUGCAGGACUUAGUAUUUGCUAGACUAUCUCUGACAGGCGUUUGUCUAACCUGCUCUUAAAAAUAUCAAAUGAUGGAGAUUCCACAGCCUCUCUAGGCAAUUUAUUCCAGUACGUAACUCUUCUGAUAGAACGUUUUUCCUAAUGUCCAACCUAAACUGUCCUUGCUGCAAUUUAAGCCCAUAGUUUCUUUUCAUAUCCUCAGGGGUUAAGGAGAACAAUUUUCCUCUAGUCCUUGUACCAGCCUUUUACAUAUUUGAAAACCAUUAUGUCCCCUCUCAGCCUUCUCUAUUCCAGACAAAACAAACCCAUUUUUUUCCAACCUUCCCACACAGGUCACGUUUUCUAGACCUUUAAUCAUUUUGUUGCUUUUUUUUUUUUUGGACUUUCUCCAAUUUGUCCUUAUCUUUUCUGAAAUGUGGUGCCCAGAACUGGACACAAUACUCCAGUUGAGGCCUAAUCAACAUGGAAUGUAGUGGAAGAAUUAUUUCUUGUGUCUCGCUUACAACACUUCUGCUAAUACAUCCCAGAAUGAUGUUUGGUUUUUUUGCAACAGUGUUACGCUGCUGACUCAUAUUUAGCUUGUGAUCCACUUAUGACUCCCAGAUCGUUUUCUGCAGUUCUCCUUCCUGGGAAGUCAUUUCCCAUUUUCUAUGUGUGUGUACUUGCAUUUGUCCUUAUUGAAUUUCAUCUUAUUUACUUCAGACCAUUUCAAAAAUUAAUCUUAUGCUCCAAAGCCGUUGCAACUCCUCCUAGCUUGGUAUUAUCUGCAAACUUUAGAAGUAUACUCUCUGAGUCAUUAUCUAAAUAACUGAUUAUAUUGAACAGAACCAGACCCAGAACAGAUCCCUGAAGGACCCCACUCAAUAUAUCCUUCCAGCUUGAUGACUACUCUCUGGGAAUGGUUCCCAGCCAGUUAUGCACCCCCUUUAUAGUAGUUCUAGGUUGUAUUUCCCUAGUUUGUUUAUAAGAAAGUCAUGCGAGACAGUAUCAAAAGCUUUACUAAAGUCAAGAUGUACCACAUCUAGCAGUUCCCCUCAUCUACAAAGCUUGUUACCCUGUCAAAGAAAGCUAUUAGGUUGGUUUGACUUGAUUUGUUAUUGACAAAUCCAUGCUGACUGUUAUUUAUUACCUUAUUAUCUCCUAGGUGUUUGCAAAUUGAUUGCUUAAGUAUUUGCUCCAUUAUCUUUCUGGGUAUUGAAAUUAAGUUGACUGGUCUGUAAUUCCCCAGAUUGUCCUUAUUUCCCUUUUUAUAGAUUGGCCCUAUAUUUGCCCCUUUCUAGUUGCCUGGAGUGUCUCUCCCAUCUUUCAUAACUUUUUGAAGAUAAUAGCUAAUGGGUCAGAUAUAUCCUUAAUCAGCUACUUGAAUAUUCUAGGAUGUAUUUCAUCAGGCCUUGGUGACUUGAAGACAUCCACAUUGUCUAAGAAAAUUUUUAACUUGUUCUUUCCCUAUUUUAGCCUCUGAUCAUACUUCAUUUUCACUGGCAUUCACUAUGUUAGAUGUCCAAUUGCUACUAACCUUUUUUCUGAAAACCAAAACAAAAAAGUCAUUUAGCACUUCUUCCAUUCCUACAUUUUUAGUUAUUGUCACCUCCUCACUUGAGUAACUGGCCUACACUGUCCUUGGUUUUCAUCCUGCUUCUAAUGUAGUUGUAGAGUGUUUUCCUGUUGCCCUUAAUGUCUCUAGGUAGUUUAAUCUCAUUUUGUGCCUUGGCCUUUCUAAUUUUGUCACUAUAUUCUUGCAUUAUUUGUUCAUAUUAAUCCUUUAUCAUUUGACCUAGUUUUCACAUUUUGUAAGACUCUUUUUUGAGGUUCAGAUCUCCUUGUUAAACCAGGGUGGUCUCCUGCCAUACUUUCUAGCUUUCCUAUGCAGGGGGAUAGCUUACUCUUGUGCCCUUAAUAAUGGCUCUUUGAAAAACUGCCAGCUCUCUUAAACUGUUUUUCUUCUUAGAUCUGCUUCCCAGGCACCUUACCUACCAACUCCCUGAGCUUGUUAAAGUCUGCAUUCUUGAAAUGCAUUGUCUUUACUCUGCUGUUUUCUCUCCUACCAUUCCUUAGAAUUAUGAACUUUACCAUUUCAUGAUCUCAUUCACCUAAGCUGCCUUCCACUUCCAAAUUCUCAACUAGUUCCUCCCUAUUUUUCAAAAUCAAAUCUAGAACAGCCUCUCCCCUAGUAGCUUUCUCCAGUUUCUGAAAUAAAAAAAAAUAGUAUUUACA
ensembl:lncRNA